CAAGUCGAGGGGAAACGACAUCGAAAGCUUGCUUUUGAUGGGCGUCGACCGGCGCACGGGUGAGUAACGCGUAUCCAACCUGCCCAUCACUUGGGGAUAACCUUGCGAAAGUAAGACUAAUACCCAAUGAUAUCUCUAGAAGACAUCUGAAAGGGAUUAAAGAUUUAUCGGUGAUGGAUGGGGAUGCGUCUGAUUAGCUUGUUGGCGGGGUAACGGCCCACCAAGGCUACGAUCAGUAGGGGUUCUGAGAGGAAGGUCCCCCACAUUGGAACUGAGACACGGUCCAAACUCCUACGGGAGGCAGCAGUGAGGAAUAUUGGUCAAUGGACGAGAGUCUGAACCAGCCAAGUAGCGUGCAGGAUGACGGCCCUAUGGGUUGUAAACUGCUUUUAUAAGGGAAUAAAGUGAGUCUCGUGAGACUUUUUGCAUGUACCUUAUGAAUAAGGACCGGCUAAUUCCGUGCCAGCAGCCGCGGUAAUACGGAAGGUCCGGGCGUUAUCCGGAUUUAUUGGGUUUAAAGGGAGCGUAGGCCGGAGAUUAAGCGUGUUGUGAAAUGUAGACGCUCAACGUCUGCACUGCAGCGCGAACUGGUUUCCUUGAGUACGCACAAAGUGGGCGGAAUUCGUGGUGUAGCGGUGAAAUGCUUAGAUAUCACGAAGAACUCCGAUUGCGAAGGCAGCUCACUGGAGCGCAACUGACGCUGAAGCUCGAAAGUGCGGGUAUCGAACAGGAUUAGAUACCCUGGUAGUCCGCACGGUAAACGAUGGAUGCCCGCUGUUGGUCUGAAUAGGUCAGCGGCC
rnacentral:rRNA from 1 species